UACCACUGGGGGAGUCUUUGUGUAAGACUGAGACGUGUAGGAAUAUGCGGACCCUUGGAACCUGAUCUGGCUCAUACCAGCGUAGGGAAGUGGAUC
rnacentral:ncRNA from 1 species